rnacentral:rRNA from 1 species
ACGCGUUAAGUAUCCCGCCUGGGGAGUACGCUCGCAAGAGUGAAACUCAAAGGAUUUGACGGGGGCCCGCACAAUCGGUGGAGUAUGUGGUUUAAUUCGAUGCAACGCGAAGAACCUUACCAGGGCUUGACAUGUCCGGAACCUUGCCGAAAGGUGAGGGUGCCUACGGGAACCGGAGCACAGGUGGUGCAUGGCUGUCGUCAGCUCGUGUCGUGAGAUGUUGGGUUAAGUCCCGCAACGAGCGCAACCCACGUUCUUAGUUGCCAGCAUUCAGUUGGGCACUCUAGGGAGACUGCCGGUGACAAACCGGAGGAAGGUGUGGAUGACGUCAAGUCAGCAUGCCCCUUACGUCCUGGGCUACACACGUACUACAAUGCUGUGGACAAAGGGCAGCCAGCCGGCGACGGUGAGCUAAUCCCAUAAACCACGGCACAGUUCAGAUUGCAGGCUGCAACUCGCCUGCAUGAAGGAGGAAUCGCUAGUAAUCGCAGGUCAGCAUCCUCCGGUGAAUACGUUCCCGGGCAUUGUACACACCGCCCGUCACACCAUGGGAGUUGUUUUGCCCGAAGUCGUUACUCCAACAUGCGGGGGGGGACGCCG